CGUGGAGGAGAAGCCCCUUGGGGCGUAAACCCUUUCGACGGGGACGAAAACCGCAAGGUUUGACGGUACCCGUAGAAGAAGCCCCGGCUAACUCCGUG
rnacentral:rRNA from 1 species